rnacentral:rRNA from 1 species
CCUACGGGUGGCAGCAGUGGGGAAUAUUGCACAAUGGGGGAAACCCUGAUGCAGCGACGCCGCGUGUGGGAAGACGGUCCUCUGGAUUGUAAACCACUGUCCCCAGGGACGAAGAUGACGGUACCUGGGGAGGAAGCUCCGGCAAACUACGUGCCGGCAGCCGCGUUACGACGUAGGGAGUAAGCGUUGUCCGAAAUUACUGGGUGUAAAGGGAGCGUAGGCGGGAUGGCAAGUUGGGUGUUAAAUCUACCGGCUCAACUGGUAGUCGCACUCAAAACUGCUAUUCUUGAGUGAAGUAGAGGCAGGCGGAAUUCCUAGUGUAGCGGUGAAAUGCGUAGAUAUUAGGAGGAACACCAGUGGCGAAGGCGGCCUGCUGGGCUUUUACUGACGCUGAGGCUCGAAAGUGUGGGGAGCAAACAGGAUGAGAUACCCGGGUAGUC